rnacentral:rRNA from 1 species
UGGGGAAUAUUGGACAAUGGGGGCAACCCUGAUCCAGCAAUGCCGCGUGUGUGAAGAAGGUCUUCGGAUUGUAAAGCACUUUCGACGGGGACGAUGAUGACGGUACCCGUAGAAGAAGCCCCGGCUAACUUCGUGCCAGCAGCCGCGGUAAUACGAAGGGGGCUAGCGUUGCUCGGAAUGACUGGGCGUAAAGGGCGUGUAGGCGGUUUACACAGUCAGAUGUGAAAUCCCCGGGCUUAACCUGGGAGCUGCAUUUGAUACGUGUAGACUAGAGUGUGAGAGAGGGUUGUGGAAUUCCCAGUGUAGAGGUGAAAUUCGUAGAUAUUGGGAAGAACACCGGUGGCGAAGGCGGCAACCUGGCUCAUGACUGACGCUGAGGCGCGAAAGCGUGGGAAGCAAACAGGAUUAGAUACCCUGGUAGUCCACGCUGUA